CCUACGGGUGGCAGCAGUGAGGAAUAUUGGUCAAUGGACGAGAGUCUGAACCAGCCAAGUAGCGUGAAGGAUGACUGCCCUAUGGGUUGUAAACUUCUUUUAUAAAGGAAUAAAACGAGGCACGUGUGCCUUUUUGCAUGUACUUUAUGAAUAAGGAUCGGCUAACUCCGUGCCAGCAGCCGCGGUAAUACGGAGGAUCCGAGCGUUAUCCGGAUUUAUUGGGUUUAAAGGGAGCGUAGAUGGGUUGUUAAGUCAGUUGUGAAAGUUUGCGGCUCAACCGUAAAAUUGCAAUUGAUACUGGCAGUCUUGAGUACAGUAGAGGUAGGCAGAAUUCGUGGUGUAGCGGUGAAAUGCUUAGAGAUCACGAAGAACCCCGAUUGCGAAGGCAGCUUACUAAACUGUGACUGACAUUGAUGCUCGAAAGUGUGGGUAGCAAACAGGAUUAGAUACCCCUGUAGUC
rnacentral:rRNA from 1 species